rnacentral:lncRNA from 1 species
AGGGAGGGAGGGAAGGAGGACACACACACACACACACACACACACACACACACACACACACACGUGCACUUACAUGGCUCAGAUGUUGUUCCUCUUUCCUCUCAAAACAGUGUAGGUAGCAAGUAGCAAGCAUGAUUAUUCAGUUUCUCUUCUGGCCAGACCAGACAUCUGCCACAGUCAUCAAGGCUUCUUGGAUUGUGAUGCCUUGGGUGAAAGAUAUGAGAGGGAAUGGAAGGGGAGGAGGUUGCGUCUGCCCACCCGAGGUCAAGCCUGGGAGAGCCUCUUCUGGCUCUGAGCCUUGAGAGAAAGGAACCAGCUCAUGUGUGCUCUAUACCCUAUGCAGCAGUUUGGGGGACAUGGCUGUAUCCUGCCUUUGACCUAGGACAGGGAAGAGGAGAGACAAACCUCUUUCGGCUGAGAGUCAGCUUGAAGACUUGAUCUGCUUGAGGACUCAACUAAGCAGAAGCCGGAAAAGAGUGUUAGAUCCUCUGGAACUGGAGUUGGCAGACAGUUGUGUGCUGCCAUUUGGAAUCUUGGAAUCAAAUCCCAGCUCCUUAGAAAUGCAGCCAAUGCUCUUAACAGCUGAGCCAUCUCUCCAGCCUUGUACCCUUCCACAACAGCACUUAUAAAAAUAUAUUUUCACUGGGCAACGGAGGUGCACGCCUUUAAUCCCAGCACUUGGAAGGCAGAGGCAUGGGGAAUCUCUGAGUUAAAGACCAGCCU